GCUGGAGUUCUUUAUCUUCCUGAGGCUUUCUAAAGCAUUACAGAUUUUCUCACGGUGUUGGUGGCUGUUUCGGCAAGAGCUCAGUGCGAAGGUCAGUUUUGGCUUAGAAAGUUAUUGGCUUAAUCUCAAUCUUAUGGACCAUGAUCUUUUCCCCCCACUCCUAUGUACCUCAUGGACCUCACGAAGGCCAAAUACACAGCUGAAACUCUACUGGACACCCAAUGGCCUCUGCACAUUUGGUCGUUUGUUCUCUAGACUCAAUUUGGAGUACAUCCUCAUAACCAGAUUCGUCCUUGUCUUUAAUAUCUCAUUUGGGCAGGUAAAAUAGUUGUGACCAAAGUAACUGGAGUCAGCUCUCCUGCGUUGCAGCUAACAGAGGGACACACUGGGCGCACCUACCCAAUGUUACACCAGGCCUAGCUCUGUGAGUCCAGCCACUGGCUCCAACCAAGACAGAAUUGGACCAACUACUUAUAGAAGUCCCAUUUCAGAGGGAAUGGUAUAGACAUACAUAUAUUUUUUUUUCUACGAUUUACAGGUACAGAAAAGGCCACUGCCAUCAAAUAGGUGAUGAAAUGGCAGACAUUGAUUUCCUGUGGUGGUCUAAGUCACUCAAGAACAUAAGUGCCAUUUCCAAGAACAAUGGGGAUGCUCAGAUGCCAAUGCAUACUGUUUUUAAUAAUAGAUUUUAAGAAGUGAAUAUUUACCUGAGAAGACCAUGUGUGACUUUUAAAGUAGCCUCAAUAAUUUGCAUUAGUAAUUAAUAGUACUUGAAUUAUUCUUUAAAUGUUUCAUUUCAAUUGUGCUUAAGAAGCCAUUUGUUUAGUCAUGGGAGAAAAUAUUCCUCUAUGCCUUCAGGAAACUAUAUUUCAUUGCAAGUCCUCAUUCUAAACAAUUUUGGAGUGUUACAGAAAGUAAAUAGGACUUGGACUUUAGUCAUGAGAGAGUUCUUAGCUUAUUUAUUUUUAAUCUGGAAUCAAACUUGGCCCUGUGGCUACAUUUUGCACAUAUCUACCUAUUUCUUCAGCAGUAAGUGAGAAAACUGAACUAUCUCCUCAAACACUCAGAGCUGUUAGACUCUACUGGUAUGUAUACGUCCACGUUCUCAAUAACCUUUAAUUAUUGAACAACCAUGACUACAGAGGGGAAAUAACUUGCCAAAUUAGUAGCCCUCAAACUGUCACUUUUUAUAAAGAGUAAAUGAUAAAAAGAAAUGUAGCACUCAUUUGUUAGUCAUUUUUAUGGGUAGCUUUAAACUGUUUUGUAUGUAGACUCCAGUUGUUGGUAUUGUUUCCACUAAAAGAAAAAUAAUUUGGCUGCUGCUGCAAUGUUUUAAGCUUUCACUGUUACUAUAAAAAUAAUCCCCAGGAGAUUUUUUAGUCUCCUUGUAUUUCUGGUUUGCAAGGACUUAGGAAGUAAAAGUUUAAAACUGCCUGGUAACAGACAAAUCACUUUUAAAAGCCAGCAUUGUACUGGUCUGGGAGAGUUACAGGAAAAGCUACUUUAAGGAGGGGAGGAAAAAAAAAAAGAAAAUGCAACAGUACAAGAGUUAAGCAAACCUAAUUAUUUUUUAAACAAAUAUAUGGAGGUCACCUAAAACUGUGAAUGUGUGAGAGGACUUUUCCUACAUGUGAAUUGUCAGAUCGGUGUUGGAAUGGUUAUCCAAGCAGAGACUGGCUCAGUAACACUGCUCCCAGUAGAAAGGCAUCUUAGUUUAAGCGAUGUGCUCUAGAACAACAUACUUUUUGGAAUGCAUUAAGACUCAAGUUUUCAGCCUGGGAUACCUAAACUAGACCUGCCUCAUGGUAGCACAGGGCUUUGUACGGCUGAGAGUUUCAGUGUCAGCUGGGGCUUUUUGGGGUAGGUUUGAGCAAGCACAGCUAAAACUUAGUGCUUUUGUAGUUUAGGUGAAUUGGAGAAGCAUACCUAUGAAGUACUGUGUGAAGUCUUAAAAAUAUUUGAAGAGAACAGACAAGGUUUUCUACUGGAGUAUGAGAAAGAGGAGAGAAAAAUCUCAUAAAGAUUAAAAGGAUUUGGGUGUUAAGCUCCCACAAACACCCUUAAAACUCCUAGUCCUCUUCUGUAAGCGAUGGCUGCAUCUUGACAGACCUGGUGGUUCUGUUUGGCUGGUUGUCUGCAUCCGCACAGGCUGGAGCCUGGCUUGGGAGUUGUGUUAGACCAUGAGAAGUUUCCAGGAAAGUUUUCAGCUCUUGGUUCCCAGGUAUCUGAGGCUUUGCCACUUCCACUCCCCCCAGCCAGAGAAUGCAGAGACGUGCAACCAUUUAGGAAAAAGGCUGGCCAAACCCUUUCUGAAUCAAAGCAAUACUCAUGUUUUGGAUCAAAGACUAGAGGAAAGAUUUGACUAGCUCCUGUUUUCUCUGUCCUGUGCUGCCAAUAUCUGAUCCUAAAUUAUAUCCAUUGGCCAAUACAGAACAACUUACUGAGGUUACUUUUCACUAAAAUUAAAAUAAACAUCAGUUUUUGAUCCUUAGGUAGAAUGACGCAGAACUGUUCUUUAGCACAUUCUGUUUUUAAGGCUGAAAGUCUCCAUUUUCAAAUCAAUGUGUCUAGAGCCAGGCUACAGAAUGUACCUGGAUGCAUGCAGAAAAUUAAGCAUCUUUCCAUGGCAAAUUGUUGAGCGCCUGCUGCUGCUCCUCCUGACGCCCACCUCAUUGCAAACUAAGUCUCUUUAGUACAGGCCAAGCACCUCCAUCUGGAGUGCAAGGACUUUCCAGGACCUGAGGAAGGUGUGGACCUAGACAUAAAUAUUUCCACUGGGGAGGUCUAGCUGCAUCCCAGACAUGCAGAACAAGAUGACAGUCAAUGUGUCAGAGGGCUCACACAAUGUGUCAGAUUCCACAUUAUGCUCUCAAGUGGCUAAAACAAUGCUCCAGCAAUUAGCAUGUGUAAAGCUCUCAGCUAUUAAUGUCCUAGGAAAUAGCAUCGAUUUUAUUAUUUUGGGGUAAGUUGCUCUAAAUGGCAAAACAGCAGCUAUUUGUCUGUGUCUAUUGAUGUGCUGUCUUGAUCUUUGAUCAAGGCUGAGGGGGAUACAUUUCCACCUUUAAUCCUCCAAAUUUUCUGAUGCUUUCAUGUACAAAUGUAUACAGUAACUUGGCGUUAGCAUUCCACAAAUAUGCAAAUUGUCUGUCAGAUUGGACAGGCUGCAUGCAUUUGAAGUUGUGUUGACAGCCUACAGAAAAAAGACAUUCUCAGCUCAAACACGAACAAGAUGUUUAUAUCCUUUUUGCCUAAAA